rnacentral:lncRNA from 7 species
UUUAAAGGUUGGUAGUGGAGAUGAGGAAAUCUCUUGCUGGAGAUCCCUGCACACCUGUGUUUUUCUAAAGUUGUCAUCCAUUCUGGAUCAUCCCUGACCCACUGUGGGAUGUUCACAGGAUACCGCCUCUUCAGAGGUGUCCCUGUCCAGUUUAAUUUAUGAAGAUAUACCUAUCCUCAGUGGUCCUCAGACCUUCUCUGAAAAUGUCUGAACACAGAUAAGAGGCUCAUAUGAUGCUGUAUUUUGGACCGUUGAUGAAAAUGGUAAAAACACACCAGUGUUUUAGUCAUUGCAGAGCAGUGCUGCAUGGAGCCAAGGUCUUUUCUUCUCAUGUUCCCUCUCAAGUGAGAGGCUGAGGGUGCAUGAGGGGCUGGGAGGGACAGAGCAGGAUGGCUGACCCAAAUGGGCAUAAUUCCAGAAAGCUAUUCUGGGAAGGCAGAAGUUCCUAUGCUGAUUCCCUGUGCUCUGAAUGCUAAUGCCUGGGCUUAGCUUUGCUCUUCUGGGUAGAAAGGAUCUGGUCAUCUGUGUGAAGUUAAAGAUGUGUGAAAUUGCUUGCAAAGCUGAGACUUGAGGAGGAUUUAUUUUCAUGUGAAAGGGUGGAAAGGUAGGAAAAACAGAAGUAAACAAGAGAUGGAGACAGAGAAACAGGAACAAAAUAGUGUGAUGUUUUAAAAGGCAAAGACUUCACAAGUGAGAUGUAAUUACUAUAAAUCCCCCUACUUUCUUUAAGUUCUUAACCUUCCUUGAGCUCAAAAUCAAACAUAAAUACCUCUAUGUAGUGUCACAUUAGUAUUUACUAGACACUUAUCUUGUGAGUAACAUGAAGCAGCUACAGAUGGGACUUCUCAGAUUGGAGGUGACAGCUAACCUGUUCCCAUAGAAAUAUCAUGGAUAUGAUGGUUGCAUUUUAACAACUGAUGUUCAGAAUGCUUAGUUACAGCUUUCAUUCAACAGCAAAUUGAAUGUUCUUUCAGAAAUGGACUUUGUUUAGCCAUAUUUAGUUUAAUACAUUUGUAUUAUUGCAAACAGGUAUCUCCAGUAAUCUAUAAUGUGCAGAUCUAAAUCUUCCCUUGCUUAGUGUUGACACAUAAUGACCUUCAUUGAAAACACAUUGUGUGUGACACUAUGCAUCAUUUGUUGAU